GACACGCUUAAAAAGCCUGCGCCAUCUCUAAAGAACUUUGGGCGUUACCCUUUAAAAUUCGUCUGUCUGCUUUGAAACAUGCGCCCAGUUGCGCCCUGCAUGCGCCCUGUAGACUAGCUAAAGGGGAAAUGUCAUCAAUAAAUUACCGGAGCUUUAAAUUAACUGCAAUUCAAGGUAUGCAGCAACCAGCAAGGGUAUUUCUUCAUUGAUCUUUGACUUAUAUGGCAGAUUGAAAUGGUUCAAAGGCAUCUAAAAAUAAUUGGAAUACCAGUUACCUUCUCAUGGUUUUAAAAUAAUCACUUUCAGUAGCUUUUUACACUGACCGAAGCUGACAGCGAAAUUAUUCUGCUUCAAUGAUACCCUGUUGGAAAAAUAAAUUUGCAAUCAGUGUCUGCUGAUA